GAUGAACGCUGGCGGCGUGCCUAAUACAUGCAAGUCGAGCGAACAGACGAGGAGCUUGCUCCUCUGACGUUAGCGGCGGACGGGUGAGUAACACGUGGAUAACCUACCUAUAAGACUGGGAUAACUUCGGGAAACCGGAGCUAAUACCGGAUAAUAUAUUGAACCGCAUGGUUCAAUAGUGAAAGACGGUUUUGCUGUCACUUAUAGAUGGAUCCGCGCCGCAUUAGCUAGUUGGUAAGGUAACGGCUUACCAAGGCAACGAUGCGUAGCCGACCUGAGAGGUGGGUCGGCCACACGGGAACUGAGACCCGGUCCAGACUCCUACGGGAGGCAGCAGGAGGGAUGCUUCCGCAAUGGGCGAAAGCCUGACGGAGCAACGCCGCGGGAGUGAUGAAGGUCUUCGGAUCGUAAAACUCUGUUAUUAGGGAAGAACAAAUGUGUAAGUAACUAUGCACGUCUUGACGGUACCUAAUCAGAAAGCCACGGCUAACUACGUG
rnacentral:rRNA from 1 species